UCUCUCAGGUAUAGGUUCAAUUCCUAUUUCUCUA
rnacentral:tRNA from 1 species